GAGGGUAUAGCUCAGUGGUAGAGCGUGUGCUUAGCAUGCAUGAGGUCCUGGGUUCAAUCCCUAGUGCCUCCA
rnacentral:tRNA from 1 species